AAUCGCUAGUAAUCGCAGAUCAGCAUGCUGCGGUGAAUACGUUCCCGGGUCUUGUACACACCGCCCGUCACACCAUGAGAGUCGGAAAUGCCCGAAGUCAGUGGCCCAACCGCAAGGAGGGAGCUGCCGAAGGCAGGUCCGGUGACUGGGGUGAAGUCGUAACAAGGUAGC
rnacentral:rRNA from 1 species